rnacentral:rRNA from 1 species
AAUCCAUAGGUUAAUGAGGCGAACCGGGGGAACUGAAACAUCUAAGUACCCCGAGGAAAAGAAAUCAACCGAGAUUCCCCCAGUAGCGGCGAGCGAACGGGGAGGAGCCCAGAGCCUGAAUCAGCAUGUGUGUUAGUGGAAGCGUCUGGAAAGGCGCGCGAUACAGGGUGACAGCCCCGUACACAAAAGCGCAUGUGCUGUGAGCUCGAUGAGUAGGGCGGGACACGUGGUAUCCUGUCUGAAUAUGGGGGGACCAUCCUCCAAGGCUAAAUACUCCUGACUGACCGAUAGUGAACCAGUACCGUGAGGGAAAGGCGAAAAGAACCCCGGCGAGGGGAGUGAAAAAGAACCUGAAACCGUGUACGUACAAGCAGUGGGAGCACCCUUCGGGGUGUGACUGCGUACCUUUUGUAUAA